GAUGAACGCUGGCGGCGUGCCUAAUACAUGCAAGUCGAGCGAACAGACGAGGAGCUUGCUCCUCUGACGUUAGCGGCGGACGGGUGAGUAACACGUGGAUAACCUACCUAUAAGACUGGGAUAACUUCGGGAAACCGGAGCUAAUACCGGAUAAUAUAUUGAACCGCAUGGUUCAAUAGUGAAAGACGGUUUUGCUGUCACUUAUAGAUGGAUCCGCGCCGCAUUAGCUAGUUGUUACGGUAACGGCUUACCAAGGCGACGAUGCGUAGCCGACCUGAGAGGGUGAUCGGCCACACUGGAACUGAGACACGGUCCAGACUCCUACGGGAGGCAGCAGUAGGGAAUCUUCCGCAAUGGGCGAAAGCCUGACGGAGCAACGCCGCGUGAGUGAUGAAGGUCUUCGGAUCGUAAAACUCUGUUAUUAGGGAAGAACAAAUGUGUAAGUAACUAUGCACGUCUUGACGGUACCUAAUCAGAAAGCCACGGCUAACUACGUG
rnacentral:rRNA from 1 species